UUGACUUAUUUUAUAAUUUACUCAGAGAUACCAUUUAAUACGAGAGUUUAGUGUACCUCUGGCAGGCUGCACCCCUAGGGGAGCCACCCGCCGAAGCAACAGUAACGGUAAGGUUUACAAUGGUUUGGGAGUUUUGCAACUCUGUAAUGAUCCCUCCGCUGGUUCACCAACGGAGA
rnacentral:misc_RNA from 1 species